rnacentral:rRNA from 1 species
AGCGAACGUUAGCGGCGGGCCUAACACAUGCAAGUCGAGCGAGAAAGUGGCUUCGGCCACGAGUAAAGCGGCGGACGGGUGAGUAACACGUAGGUAAUCUUCCCUUGAGCGGGGGACAACGAGCCGAAAGGCUCGCUAAUACCGCAUACGUUUCCAGAGGCCCCGGUCUCUGGAAGGAAAGCUAGGCCGCAAGGUCUGGCACUCGAGGAGGAGCCUGCGUCGCAUCAGCUAGUUGGGGGGGUAACGGCCUACCAAGGCGAAGACGCGUAGCUGGUCUGAGAGGAUGAUCAGCCACACUGGGACUGAGACACGGCCCAGACUCCUACGGGAGGCAGCAGUGGGGAAUAUUGGACAAUGGGCGCAAGCCUGAUCCAGCCACGCCGCGUGAGUGAUGAAGGCCUUCGGGUCGUAAAGCUCUGUGGGGAGGGACGAACCGCUGCACGUUCAUAGCGUGCAGCAUGACGGUACCUCCUUAGCAAGCACCGGCUAACUUCGUGCCAGCAGCCGCCGCAG